AGCGAACGCUGGCGGCAGGCUUAACACAUGCAAGUCGAGGGGAGCGGCAGACGGGUGAGUAACGAGUGGGAACGUACCUUUUGGUUCGGAACAGCACAGGGAAAAUUGUGCUAAUACCGGAUACCGAAAGAUCGGCCCGCGUCGGAUUAGCUAGUUGGUGAGGUAAUGGAUCCCCAAGGCGACGAUCAGUAGCUGGUCUGAGAGGAUGAUCAGCCACAUUGGGACUGAGACACGGCCCACAAUCCUACGGGAGGCAGCAGUGGGGAAUAUUGGACAAUGGUGGCAACCCUGAUCCACCCAUGCCGCGUGAGUGAUGAAGGCCCUAGGGUUGUAAAGCUCUUUUGUGCGGGAAGCGGUACCGCAAGAAUAAGCCCCGGCUAACUUCGUGCCAGCCGCCGCGGUAAUUC
rnacentral:rRNA from 1 species